AGUUUUGCUGGAGGCCGCAACCAGGCCCGCGCCGCCACCAUGGUACGUUGAAUCCCGAUCUCUGGAAGGUUUAGGGCAGAGCUCUGGUGACUGGGGGAUGACGAGCCACCUCUCCUGUCAUCCUUAGCGUCGCCCGGUGCCACGAGUUUCGAAAUCAGUAUGACAAUGAUGUCACUGUUUGGAGCCCCCAGGGCAGGAUUCAUCAAAUUGAAUAUGCAAUGGAAGCUGUUAAACAAGGUUCAGCCACAGUUGGUCUGAAAUCAAAAACUCAUGCAGUUUUGGUUGCAUUGAAAAGGGCGCAAUCAGAGCUUGCAGCUCAUCAGAAAAAAAUUCUCCAUGUUGACAACCAUAUUGGUAUCUCAAUUGCGGGGCUUACUGCUGAUGCUAGACUGUUAUGUAAUUUUAUGCGUCAGGAGUGUUUGGAUUCCAGAUUUGUAUUCGAUAGACCACUGCCUGUGUCUCGUCUUGUAUCUCUAAUUGGAAGCAGUAUCCUUUUUAUGUUAGCAUUUAUGGAUAUGAACUUUGAAGGGUUUUGAUACUUGUGUUAAUUAUUAGGAAUAUAAUAAUAAUAUGA
rnacentral:lncRNA from 1 species